GACGUAGGGUCCGAGCGUUGUCCGGAGUUACUGGGCGUAAAGGGCGCGCAGGCUGUUAUGCGAGUCUGCUGUGAAAUGUACCGGCUCAACCGGUGCCUUGCGGCGGAUACUGCAUAGCUGGAGUACUGGAGAGGGAAGUGGAAUUCCCGGUGUAUCGGUGAAAUGCGUAGAUAUUAGGAGGAACACCAGUGGCGAAGGCGACUUACUGGACUGUAACUGACGUUGAGGCUCGAAAGCGUGGGGAGCAAACAGGAUUAGAUACCCGUGUA
rnacentral:rRNA from 1 species